rnacentral:rRNA from 1 species
UACGUAGGGGGCAAGCGUUGUCCGGAAUCAUUGGGCGUAAAGAGCGUGUAGGCGGCCCGAUAAGUCCGCCGUGAAAGUCCAGGGCUCAACCCUGGAAUGCCGGUGGAAACUGUCGGGCUGGAGUCCGGAAGAGGCGAGUGGAAUUCCUGGUGUAGCGGUGAAAUGCGCAGAUAUCAGGAGGAACACCCAGUGGCGAAGGCAGGCUCGCU